rfam:Thermoplasmatales archaeon Gpl AMDT5_GPLC00001, whole genome shotgun sequence.
GGAUAGGUGGCAGAGAGGUUAUGCGUAAGACUGCAGAUCUUAUUUAUUAGGGUUCAAAUCCCUACCUAUCCU